rnacentral:rRNA from 1 species
AUGCACGCUGGCGGCGUGCCUAAUACAUGCAAGUCGAGCGAACGGACGAGAAGCUUGCUUCUCUGAUGUUAGCGGCGGACGGGUGAGUAACACGUGGAUAACCUACCUAUAAGACUGGGAUAACUUCGGGAAACCGGAGCUAAUACCGGAUGAUAUUUUGAACCGCAUGGUUCAAAAGUGAAAGACGGUCUUGCUGUCACUUAUAGAUGGAUCCGCGCUGCAUUAGCUAGUUGGUAAGGUAACGGCUUACCAAGGCAACGAUGCAUAGCCGACCUGAGAGGGUGAUCGGCCACACUGGAACUGAGACACGGUCCAGACUCCUACGGGAGGCAGCAGUAGGGAAUCUUCCGCAAUGGGCGAAAGCCUGACGGAGCAACGCCGCGUGAGUGAUGAAGGUCUUCGGAUCGUAAAACUCUGUUAUUAGGGAAGAACAUAUGUGUAAGUAACUGUGCACAUCUUGACGGUACCUAAUCAGAAAGCCACGACUAACUACGUG